UACGGAGGUUCCAAGCGUUGUUCGGAAUUACUGGGCGUAAAGGGAGCGUAGGCGGACUUUUAAGUGAGAUGUGAAAUACCCGGGCUCAACUUGGGUGCUGCAUUUCAAACUGGAAGUCUAGAGUGCAGGAGAGGAGAAUGGAAUUCCUAGUGUAGCGGUGAAAUGCGUAGAGAUUAGGAAGAACACCAGUGGCGAAGGCGAUUCUCUGGACUGUAACUGACGCUGAGGCUCGAAAGCGUGGGGAGCAAACAGGAUUAGAUACCCUGGUA
rnacentral:rRNA from 1 species